rnacentral:rRNA from 1 species
AUUGAACGCUGGCGGCAGGCCUAACACAUGCAAGUCGAGCGGAGCGGCGGACGGGUGGGUAAUGCCUAGGAGUCUGCGUGGUAGUGGAGGCUAACGGCCGAAAAGGGGCGCUCAUACCGCAUACUAUCAGAUGAGCCGAGGUCGGAUUAGCUAGUUGGUGGGGUAAAGGCCUACCAAGGCGACGAUCCGUAACUGGUCUGAGAGGAUGAUCAGUCACACUGGAACUGAGACACGGUCCAGACUCCUACGGGAGGCAGCAGUGGGGAAUAUUGGACAAUGGGCGAAAGCCUGAUGCAGCCAUGCCGCGUGUGUGAAGAAGGUCUUCGGAUUGUAAAGCACUUUAAGUUGGGAGGCGUUACCCACAGAAGAAGCACCGGCUAACUCCGUGCCAGCAGCCGCGGUAAUUC